UCGGUAUCGACUUUUUUGGUCCUCUUUUUUGAAAAAUAAUAAUCGGUCGACCUCUUGUCUUGAUGCUGUCUGUGUCAUAUGGGUAAGUAAAUUAAUUUAUUGUUUGCCCCUUUAUCAGAGCUCACAUGGAUCACAUCUCCACUGUACCAUCCGGGAUGCUGACAUUUAAGUUUUAUGUGCACAGAUUUUUCAUCCAUUCCAAUAAAGGGACUUGCUUAUAUGUACAGAUAGACUACUGUUAGUAAUAAUAUCUUAGUUUGUACACGCUUUUGCAGAUAUUAAGAGCUCAUCAACUAACUGGAUAUCCUGCGGCCAGCCUUUCACUGAGCCUGCCAUAUUGAAGCCCAAGUUCGGCACAGUUACCGACUAUCAGCUACUUCUAUUGGACAAAUGAGGUAUUUAACCCCUGUCCAAAUAAUGAAUAAUAUAUGGUGUGAGUAUUGAAGAGAUGGAAAAUCAUUUAGGCCUAUAUUUGUACCUUUUUAAGGAGAGUGGAAUUCCACCCUCCUGGAGUGAAUUGUCCCAUUGUUCAGUAGCAACUGUAGCCUAAGUUUCCCUCAUUCCCUGCUGUCCUGGUUGCUCCUCAGAUCCACCCGCUGCUGUUGCAGGAGCGCCAGGCAGUUUGGCUACUACGUCACACCCCCACUGUGCCCACAGACAGCCACACCCCUGGAGACUACACAGCCACACCCCCACUGUGCCCACAGACAGCCACACCCCCACUGUGCCCACAGACAGCCACACCCCUGGAGACUACACAGCCACAGAUGACAGACUACCUGGCAUGAUGACUCCUUGCUGUCCACCUGGCCGUCUGACCUGUUCACCAGACGUGCUACCUGUCCCAGACCUGCUGUUUUCAACUCUCUAGAGACAGCAGGAGUGGUAGAGAUACUCUUAAUGAGCGGCUAUGGACAGCAGGAGUGGUAGAGAUACUCUUAAUGAGCGGCUAUGAAAAGCCAACUGACAUUUACUCCUGAGAUGCUGACUUGCUGCACCUUCGACAACUACUGUGAUUAUUAUUAUUUGACCAUGCUGGUCAUUUAUGAACAUCUUGGCCAUGUUCUGUUAUAAUCUCCACCCAGCACAGCCAGAAGAGGACUGGCCACCCCUCAUAGCCUGGUUCCUCUCUAGGUUUCGGCCUUUCUAGGGAGUUUUUCCUAGCCACCGUGCUUCUACACCUGCAUUGCUUGCUGUUUGGGGUUUUAGGCUGGGUUUCUGUACGGCACUUUGCAAUAUCAGCUGAUGUAAGAAGGGCUAUAAAAAUACAUUUGAUUUGAUCAUCUUUUAGGGAGCGGUAGAGGUGACCAAUAAUGGUUCAUUUGAGAUCAGCUGUGCGUGUGAAUUUAGCGCAUAUUGAUGGUUUUAACGAGACCUCAGUUGUCGAUAAUCUAGUGCCAUCGAUGGUUGCAAUAGGCCUCUUGUUAUUUGGUUAUAUUUCUAUAAGCUACAUUUUGUCGGCUAUCAAUAAUCCCCAAUGAAAGGUGUGAAAACCGAUAAUCCACUGUGUUUACCUGGCUAAAUCAAUUAGAUUUUUUUGUGCCAUCAGUUGAUUGACAGAUGUAGGCCUACUGUGGAAUGAUCAACUUUCCUGCGGUGUGGAUGCUUGCCCAUCUUUUAUAGUUAAACUAUGUAUAAUUUUCAGAGGUGGGUAGAGUACUGAAAAUCUACCUCAAUUGGACCGACCAACCAGUGCUCCCGCACAUUGGCUAACCCGGCUAUCUGCAUUGUGUCCCGCCACCCACCACCCCCCCUUUUACCCUACUGCUACUCUCUGUUUAUCAUAUAUGCAGUCACUUUAACCAUACCUACAUGUACAUACUACCUCAAUCAGCCUGACUAAACGGUGUCUGUAUGUAGCCUUGCUACUUUUAUAGCCUCGCUACUGUAUAUAUCCUGUCUUUUUACUGUUGUUUUAUUUCUUUACUUACCUAUUGUUCACCGAACACCUUUUUUUGCACUAUUGGUUAGAGCCUGUAAGUAAGCAUUUCACUGUAAGGUCUACACUUGUUGUAUUCGGCGCACGUGACAAAGUUUGAUUUGAUUUGAAUACUCAGCUAUGAAAAGCCUCUACAACCACCGAUUUGUUAUUUGAUCCUGCUGGUCAUCUAUGAACAUAUUAAGAUCUUGAAAAACAAUCUGGCCUUAAAUAGCCAUGUACUCUUGUAAUCUCCACCCAGCACAGCCAGAAGAGGACUGGCCACCCUUCAGAGCCUGGUUCCUCUAGGCUUCUUCCUAGGUUCCUGCCUUUUUUCAUGGUGUUUUUCUGAGCCACCGUACUUCUACAUCUCUUGUUGUUUGGGGUUUUAGGCUGGGUUUCUGUAUAGCACUUUGACAUCUGCUGAAGUAAGGGCUUUAUAAAUCAAAUUGAUCGAUUGACUAGAAUGCAAAUCGGACACAUUUCAUCAUUCACCAAAUUGACAUUUGUUUUUGCAUUUUAGCUAUCCCCUAACUAUUUUCCUUCACCUUAACCUACUCCUCCUACGUUAAUUAUCUUAACCUUCUUGCGAAAAGUUUCUUUUAUUGGCUGGCCAAUUCUUCUCCCCCUCGUUUGUGCAGCUAAACGCUGUGAAUAAAAAGAAAAUAUUGAUUUCUAUAUGGCGCAAAAAGUUUACUGUGAUGAUACACUGACUGUGUAUCUUACUCAAGUGUGUGUGCCGUUAUCAGCAGCUUUAUCCACUGGACCGCACAGUUACUGAGAUAACCAUGAAUUUAUUUUGCCUAUUGCUUGACUUGAACAUAUAAUAAACUAAUUGAUCUAAAAAAAAAAAGAUUUUCCCUACUCAAAAAUACAUCUACCCCCUAUACAUAUGGUCUAUUUUAUUAUAAUACACACAAGAAUUCACACGAGAAGCGAUGUAGCCUGCACAUAGCCACCCAGGCUACUUGAACUGGCGUCCAGUAGACCUGCAGUCUAAAUGAUUGUAUAGCCUACAAACACUGCUUCCAGCUGCCUCCUGGCAUCGAUUAUGCAUAUUAAAUAGAUAUGCAAAUCUUCCUGCUGCAUGAUUAUUAUCCUCUUGUGACAAAAUGGUUAAUAUUAAAAUGCUACAUCUGUACGGGUAUAUUCAACACCACUGGUUGGUCAAUCAGUAUAGGUCUUUUCAGUCUCAAACGGCCGUGAUCCUUUGAUUUGAACGCUUUGGGGGCGAUAAAACAACAGAGCCCCAUUCAAUGAGGGGAGUUGUUUAUCUGGCCUGUGGGAUGAGUUUGAACCGGGUAAAAAGUGAUUGCUUUCGUUUUGGAGCCGGGCUGCCUCCUGGGCAUGAGCCAGGUGCCCCGCUCUGAUUGAUUGCGAAGUCUGCUCAAAACAAAAGUGACGUAAUCAAGCACGUGGAGCGAUAAUUAGUAUUCUGUUUUCACAUGCACAAGUGAUUGCUUUUGAUAAAAUCCUGUUAUCUGCCUUCCCAAUGAAAACUAGUUUGAAAAUUCUAAUAUUUAUUGCAUGAACAGAGGUGUAUGUUUCUGGACGAUGCAACUAGCGGCCUUGUUGACAACAUAAUUGAUUUAAGGAGGGCACUCCUCCCUCCUCGCUUUCGGCCAAUGACGGGCCAUUACCUGGUUCAACCGGUCCAGACUAAUAGGAUUCCCUCAAUGAGGAAGCAAAGUGUCCUUCAUGUAAAAUAUACUUUCACAACAGUAUAGGAUCAGUGGUGACCUGUCAUUCAGGGCAGGUUUUUAGCCCCACAUUUUUAACAUAAAAUAUUUUUAUUUUUUGGGCUUGCCUGUUUUGCAUGUUAUUUUUUUGCAUGUUAUUUUUUACAUUAAUACAUGUCACAUAUCAGUUUGUAAUUUGAAAAAAAUAUAUAAUUCAGUUAAUAAAGCUGCAUACACAUGG